UACGUAGGGGGCAAGCGUUGUCCGGAUUUAUUGGGCGUAAAGAGCGUGUAGGCGGCCUGGAAGGUCAGCUGUGAAAACUCGAGGCUCAACCUCGAGACGUCGGUUGAAACCACCUGGCUAGAGUCCGGAAGAGGAGAGUGGAAUUCCCGGUGUAGCGGUGAAAUGCGCAGAUAUCGGGAAGAACACCCGUGGCGAAGGCGGCUCUCUGGGACGGUACUGACGCUGAGACGCGAAAGCGUGGGGAGCGAUCCGG
rnacentral:rRNA from 1 species